rnacentral:rRNA from 1 species
UACGUAGGCAGCGAGCGUUGUUCGGAGUUACUGGGCGUAAAGAGUGCGUAGGCGGUUUUCUAAGUUUGGGGUGAAAUCUCCCGGCUUAACUGGGAGGGUGCGCCGAAGACUGGAAGGCUUGAGUAUGGGAGAGGUAAGCGGAAUUCCUGGUGUAGCGGUGAAAUGCGUAGAUAUCAGGAGGAACACCUGCGGUGUAGACGGCUUACUGGACCAUAACUGACGCUGAGGCACGAAAGCGUGGGUAGCAAACAGG